rnacentral:rRNA from 1 species
CACGCAGGCGGUUCUGCGCGUUUCGAGUGACAGCGGGUGGCUUACCUGCCCGAGUAUUCGAAAGACGGUAGGACUUGAGGGCCAGAGAGGGACACGGAAUUCCGGGUGGAGUGGUGAAAUGCGUAGAGAUCCGGAGGAACACCGAAGGCGAAGGCAGUGUCCUGGCUGGUGACUGACGCUGAGGUGCGAAAGCCAGGGGAGCGAACGGGAUUAGAUACCCCGGUAGUCCUGGCCGUAAACGAUGACCACCAGGUGUGGGAGGUAUCGACCCCUUCCGUGCCGGAGGAAACCCACUAAGUGGUCCGCCUGGGGAGUACGGUCGCAAGAUUAAA